UCGAGUAGUUCAAUCGCGAACAUGUAGCAUCGAUUCAGUUUCCGUGCCUUCGUAUCGCUAAACGUGGACUAAACAACCGUUUCAAUUUCUCAGUGCUCUUCAAGCGCUCGUGCAGGUGAAAUCGUUUCGUCAGUCGUAAUGAUCAGUUGAUACUUUUCUGAACAGGUUUCCUCGGUGCGUCAAUAUCUUCAAGAAUUCGUGGACAUGGCUGCAAGCGUUAGUGGAGAGGACAGAGUCGUUCUAUCAGGCGUAACGAUCAGUGGACAGUCCUGUGCGAAAUCUUCAGUUGCGAACAGUAUCUCCAAGCAUCGAUGAAGGUGAGAAUACGUGCCUGGUGACAUUGCAUCGUUGACACGGGAUACAUUGUCGUGCCCAAGUCCGGCAAUCUUUAUUUACGGACGGUCAAAUGAAACGCGACGUCACCAAUUUUUGCGUGGCACGUAUCUCUGGAUGGGAAAGUCCGUGGAGCGAAUUAAACACGUCGCGCCGCAAGGAUUUCGGUACGUACCAUCGUACAAUGUCGCCUGAUAUGUCGCAAUAAAUUUCUACCUAUAA